UGGUCAAGUUAUUAAGGGUGCAGGGCGGAUGCCUUGGCACUAGGAGCCGAUGAAGGACGUGAUAAGCUGCGAUAAGCUUCGGGGAGUUGCACGUAAACUUUGAUCCGAAGAUUUCCGAAUGAGGAAACUCACUUAGAGUAAUGUCUAAGUAUCAUUAAGUGAAUACAUAGCUUAAUGAGGGGAACUCAGGGAACUGAAACAUCUAAGUACCUGAAGGAAGAGAAAGAAAUUCGAUUCCGUAAGUAGCGGCGAGCGAACGCGGAUUAGCCCAAACCAAUAAAGUUUUCUUUAUUGGGGUUGCGGACAUAUCAUAACGAAGAGGUAUCGUAAUUGAAGAGGUUUGGAAAGACCCACCACAGAAGGUAAUAGUCCUGUAUGUUAAACGAGAAGACUUUAGAUAUGAUCCAGAGUACCACGGGACACGUGAAACCCUGUGGGAAGCAGGAGGGACCACCCUCCAAGGCUAAAUACUACCUAGUGACCGAUAGCGUAUAGUACCGUGAGGGAAAGGUGAAAAGAACCCCGGGAGGGGAGUGAAAUAGAACCUGAAACCCUGCACUUACAAGCUGUGGAAGCACAUUUCUUGUGUGACCGCGUACUUUUUGUAGAACGGGCCAACGAGUUACGUUAAGUAGCAAG
rnacentral:rRNA from 1 species